rnacentral:misc_RNA from 1 species
UGCAGCGGCCACCGGACCAGA